rnacentral:rRNA from 1 species
GACGAACGCUGGCGGCGUGCUUAACACAUGCAAGUCGAACGGAAAGGCCCUUCGGGGUUGGGGUGCGCGAAUGGGGAACGUGUGAGGAACACGUGAGGAACCUGCCCUUGACUUUGGGAUAACUUCAGGAAACUGGGGCUAAUACCGGAUAGGAGCUCCUUCUUCAUGGUGGGAGUGGGAAAGUGUCGGCGGUUGGGGAUGGGCUCGCUGCUUAUCAGCUUGGUGGUGGGGUAAUGGCUUACCAAGGCUGUGACGGGUAGCCGGCCUGUGAGGGUGACCGGCCACAUUGGGACUGAGAUACGGCCCAGACUCCUACGGGAGGCAGCAGUGGGGAAUAUUGCACAAUGGGCGGAAGCCUGAUGCAGCGACGCCGCGUGCGGGAUGACGGCCUUCGGGUUGUAAACCGCUUUCGACUGUGACGAAGCGUGAGUGACGGUAAUGAGAAAAGAAGCACCGGCUAACUACGUG